AGAGUUUGAUCCUGGCUCAGGACGAACGUUGGCGGCGUGUCUAAGGCAUGCAAGUCGAGCGGAUACCAUUUUUUAGCAAUAUUAGAUGGUGUUAGCGGCAAACGGGUGCGUAACACAUUGGUAAUCUACCCCCCAGUCGGGCACAACUCGCCGAAAGGCGAGCUAAUUCCACGAUGGGCAUGCGGGGACAUAUGUCAUUCGCAUGUAAAGCGCAAAACGCGCUGGGGGAGGAGCCUAUGGCCCAUCAGCUUGUUGGCGGGGUAAAAGCCCACCAAGGCUACGACGGGUAGGGGGUGUGAGAGCAUGACCCCCCUCACUGGGACUGGGACACUGCCCAGACACCUACGGGUGGCUGCAGUUAAGAAUAUUCCUCAAUGGCCGAAAGGCUGAAGGAGCGACGCCGCGUGCAGGAUGAAGGGCUUUGGCUCGUAAAUUGCUUUUAUUUGGGAAGAAUUCUGACGGUACCAAAUGAAUAAGAGGUUGCUAACUCUGUGCCAGCAGCAGCGGUAAUACAGAGACCUCAAACGUUGUCCGGAUUUAUUGGGCGUAAAGGGUCCGCAGGUGGCCAUGCACGUCGAGGGUUAAAUGUUAGGGCUCAACUCUAACACCGCUCUCGAUACGGCGUGGCUAGAGGCUGGGAGAGGCAUACGGAAUUGCCGGUGUAGUAGUAAUAUGCGUUAAUAUCGGCAAGAACACCAAAAGCGAAGGCAGUAUGCUGGAACAGUUCUGACACUCAGGGACGAAAGCGUGGGGAGCGAAAGGGAUUAGAUACCCCUGUAGUCCACGCCCUAAACGAUGGAUG
rnacentral:rRNA from 1 species